CUUAUUGUCUCUGGACGAUAAAAAAAAGAACAUAAAAAAGA
rnacentral:rRNA from 1 species